UCCUCAGUAGCUCAGUGGUUGAGCAGUCGGCUGUUAACUGACUGGUCCUGUAGGUUCAAAUCCUACUUGGGGAG
rnacentral:tRNA from 1 species